rnacentral:rRNA from 1 species
UUAACACAUGCAAGUCGAGGGGCAGCAUGGUCUUAGCUUGCUAAGGCCGAUGGCGACCGGCGCACGGGUGAGUAACACGUAUCCAACCUGCCGUCUACUCUUGGACAGCCUUCUGAAAGGAAGAUUAAUACAAGAUGGCAUCAUGAGUCCGCAUGUUCACAUGAUUAAAGGUAUUCCGGUAGACGAUGGGGAUGCGUUCCAUUAGAUAGUAGGCGGGGUAACGGCCCACCUAGUCUUCGAUGGAUAGGGGUUCUGAGAGGAAGGUCCCCCACAUUGGAACUGAGACACGGUCCAAACUCCUACGGGAGGCAGCAGUGAGGAAUAUUGGUCAAUGGGCGAGAGCCUGAACCAGCCAAGUAGCGUGAAGGAUGACUGCCCUAUGGGUUGUAAACUUCUUUUAUAAAGGAAUAAAGUCGGGUAUGGAUACCCGUUUGCAUGUACUUUAUGAAUAAGGAUCGGCUAACUCCGUGCCAGCAGCCGCGGUAAUACGGAGGAUCCGAGCGUUAUCCGGAUUUAUUGGGUUUAAAGGGAGCGUAGAUGGAUGUUUAAGUCAGUUGUGAAAGUUUGCGGCUCAACCGUAAAAUUGCAGUUGAUACUGGAUAUCUUGAGUGCAGUUGAGGCAGGCGGAAUUCGUGGUGUAGCGGUGAAAUGCUUAGAUAUCACGAAGAACUCCGAUUGCGAAGGCAGCCUGCUAAGCUGCAACUGACAUUGAGGCUCGAAAGUGUGGGUAUCAAACAGGAUUAGAUACCCUGGUAGUCCACACGGUAAACGAUGAAUACUCGCUGUUUGCGAUAUACUGCAAGCGGCCAAGCGAAAGCGUUAAGUAUUCCACCUGGGGAGUACGCCGGCAACGGUGAAACUCAAAGGAAUUGACGGGGGCCCGCACAAGCGGAGGAACAUGUGGUUUAAUUCGAUGAUACGCGAGGAACCUUACCCGGGCUUAAAUUGCAGAUGAAUUACGGUGAAAGCCGUAAGCCGCAAGGCAUCUGUGAAGGUGCUGCAUGGUUGUCGUCAGCUCGUGCCGUGAGGUGUCGGCUUAAGUGCCAUAACGAGCGCAACCCUUGUUGUCAGUUACUAACAGGUUCCGCUGAGGACUCUGACAAGACUGCCAUCGUAAGAUGUGAGGAAGGUGGGGAUGACGUCAAAUCAGCACGGCCCUUACGUCCGGGGCUACACACGUGUUACAAUGGGGGGUACAGAGGGUCGCUACCACGCGAGUGGAUGCCAAUCCCCAAAACCUCUCUCAGUUCGGACUGGAGUCUGCAACCCGACUCCACGAAGCUGGAUUCGCUAGUAAUCGCGCAUCAGCCACGGCGCGGUGAAUACGUUCCCGGGCCUUGUACACACCGCCCGUCAAGCCAUGGGAGCCGGGGGUACCUGAAGUGCGUAACCGCGAGGAGCGCCCUAGGGUAAAACUGGUGACUGGGGCUAAGUC